rnacentral:rRNA from 1 species
UACGAAGGGUGCAAGCGUUACUCGGAAUUAUUGGGCGUAAAGGGUGCGUAGGCGGCGCGGUAAGUCGGGUGUGAAAUCUCGGAGCUUAACUCCGAAACUGCAUUCGAUACUGCCGUGCUUGAGGACUGGAGAGGAGACUGGAAUUUACGGUGUAGCGGUGAAAUGCGUAGAUAUCGUAAGGAAGACCAGUGGCGAAGGCGGGUCUCUGGACAGUUCCUGACGCUGAGGCACGAAGGUCAAGGGAGCAAACGGG